CAACUUUCAGCAGUGGAUGUCUAGGCUCGCACAUCGAUGAAGAACGCUGCGAACUGCGAUACGUAAUGCGAAUUGCAAAAUUCAGUGAGUCAUCGAAAUUUUGAACGCAUAUUGCACUUUCGGGUUAGACCUGGAAGUAUGUCUGUAUCAGGGUCCGUA
rnacentral:rRNA from 1 species